rnacentral:rRNA from 1 species
GACGAACGCUGGCGGCGUGCCUAAUACAUGCAAGUCGAACGGUCUUUUCUAUGGAAGCUUGCUUCCACUGAGAAGAUAGUGGCGAACGGGUGAGUAACACGUGGGUAACCUGCCCAUAAGAGGGGGAUAACAGCCGGAAACGGGUGCUAAUACCGCAUAGGUUUCUUGGUCGCAUGAUCGAGACAGGAAAGACGGCCUUGGUGCUGUCGCUGAUGGAGGGACGCGCGGCGGAUUAGUUAGUUGGUGAGGUAACGGCUCACCAAGACGAUGAUACGUAGCCGACCUGAGAGGGUGAUCGGCCACAUUGGGACUGAGACACGGCCCAAACUCCUACGGGAGGCAGCAGUAGGGAAUCUUCCGCAAUGGACGAAAGUCUGACGGAGCAACGCCGCGUGAGUGAAGAAGGUUUUCGGAUCGUAAAACUCUGUUGUCAGAGAAGAACAAGUCGGAGAGUAACUGCUCCGGCCUUGACGGUAUCUGACCAGAAAGCCACGGCUAACUACGUGCCAGCCGCCGCAGUAACAC